rnacentral:tRNA from 1 species
GGAGUUGUGGCUCAAUGGUAGAGCGCUUGUCUAGCAUGCAUGAGGCACUGGGUUCAAUCCUCAACAUCA